rnacentral:rRNA from 1 species
AUACAGAGAGUGCAAGCGUUAAUCGGAAUUACUGGGCGUAAAGCGCGCGUAGGCGGCUUAUUAAGUCAGAUGUGAAAUCCCCGGGCUCAACCUGGGAACUGCAUCUGAUACUGGUAAGCUAGAGUUUUGGAGAGGGAAGUAGAAUUUCAGGUGUAGCGGUGAAAUGCAUAGAGAUCUGAAGGAAUACCAGUGGCGAAGGCGACUUCCUGGCCAAAAACUGACGCUGAGGUGCGAAAGCGUGGGUAGCAAACGGGAUUAGAUACCCUAGUAGUCC